GGCCAGCAGCCGCGGUAAAACGUAGGGGGCGAGCGUUGUCCGGAAUUACUGGGCGUAAAGGGCGCGUAGGCGGUUAUUUAAGUCAGAGGUGAAAACUACCGGCUCAACCGGUAGCCUGCCUUUGAAACUGGAUGACUUGAGGGCAGGAGAGGGGAGUGGAAUUCCCAGUGUAGCGGUGAAAUGCGUAGAUAUUGGGAGGAACACCAGUGGCGAAGGCGGCUCUCUGGCCUGUUUCUGACGCUGAGGCGCGAAAGCGUGGGGAGCAAACGGGAUUAGAUACCCCGGUAGUCCACGCCGUAAACGAUGGGUGCUAGGUGUAGGAGGUAUCGACCCCUUCUGUGCCGUAGUUAACACAAUAAGCACCCCGCCUGGGGAGUACGGCCGCAAGGUUGAAACUCAAAGGAAUUGACGGGGGCCCGCACAAGC
rnacentral:rRNA from 1 species